CCGCCUUUUCCCUCGCUCGGCUGCGCGUCAACCCUGCACCUGUACCACCCCUGCUGUCUAUCUCGUCCAGCACCGCCGGCCCUAGGUGUCGCAUCCCCUUGUGCCCUCGCGUGCCCUGCCCUGGUGCCCGCGCCGCCGCAUAGAGCUGCGCCGAGCCCAGCAGCUGCCGUCUCCCUGCUACCCCGGGCGUCCCUGUUGCUUCUACGAGCGAAGGCAAGCCAAGCACCGGGAGCCCCAUGCCCCCUGGAGCGUGCGCGCCUGCCGUGUCUCGCCUUGGCCUGUGACCCAGCCGCUGCGUACACGAGCACCCAGGUCUCCGCCGGAUCCUCCCUCGUGCCUCUGCUUCAUGCAGCGCCGCCAGAGGAGGAGCAGAUUGUACGCUGCAAGCUUCCGGCCCAAGCCGUGCCCCGAUGCCAGAAUCGGCAUCAAUUUUGAAGCACAAGAGCUCCGACGGCUAUGGAUUGGAAGCUAUGGGUUUUCCGGAAAAAGAGCACAAUUGAAGAGCUGUGAAGAUGAAGAUAGAGAUGCAAGAACAAGACUUGAAGACUCUGAUCAAGGAGAAAGUUGCUAUGAAGUCUGCUGAAGAUAUUGCUGAGUUCUAGGCGCAUGCAACCCCCGGUCGAUUGCUUGUGGAGUAUGGAGCUGUCGUUUCCAGUUGAAGCUGUGGAUCUCUGAUAGAUCUUUUAAUCGUUGUAAGUCUUUUUUACGUGACAUUGUUGCUCAUUAUGCCAUUAUAACAUCACUAUAUGUAUGAAACUUGAUCCUGGCAUACAUAUAAUUAUGCAUUCGUUUUUUUUAAAAAAAACCGGGUGUGACAUUAAAGCAAUAUCAAGUACUAAAAAAUAAUUGCAUAAGGAAGGGCAGGAGCCAAUCAAAUACCGAAAUAGUUGUUACUUUUCUAGUUCCAAUACAUUUGCAUGUAUUGUGGAUUUUUUUAAGAAAAUAUGUAUUAUGGAUCUAGGGAACCAAAUAAACAACAUAGUCUUUAAUUACAACUUCUAUAGUUAAUUGGCAACGUAUGCUAUGCAAACCACCUUCAUAUGCAAAUUAUAGAAACUCCAAUCUGGACCUCCGGAUCCGGAUCUGACUAACGUUGCAGGUCAACGGAAGGCAGGGCAGGUGCGUGCAUGCAGUCCGUGCUGGCAAUGACGUUGCCCGUCGUCGCGCAUGGCGUGCUCGAUCAGGCAAGUCAACGAAGGCAGCGCAUCCGUACGUGGAGUGCCGCGACGCAGCGAUAAUGUAAUGCGUUCAGAGAGAUGGGGAUUAGGAUUAGUCGCGGCCACAUUUUGCAGGCGCGCGCAUGCUUGCCGCGUUGAAGAUUAUGCUUGGCGAGCAACACGUUGACAUGCACAUGGCAGUUUAAUUUCUCCCUGCAGAAACGGGGGCAGCGGCAGGGUCUCUCGACAGACGGUCAGAGCCUUGAAUGAAUGGGUGUGAGAGCAGCCAGAUCAAGCGGCGAACACGUACGUAUAGGAGACUUUCAAACGGCCGGGGGCCCAAGUUUGGAGCGGAAGAAUGUGCAACAGGUGGAGACGAUGCUGGGCGAGAUUCAAAGAGCCUGUGGUCUAGCGCGGUGUGGGGGCAAGCGUGUAGUCUGUUCCCCCCCUUGUCUGCUUGAGUUUAGUUUGGGAGAGGUGCUGGAUGGUUUCGUUGCUCUGUACUGUCCUGUGUUUAGCUAGACUCUUUCUAUCCACGUUGUAGAGUUUAGCUAUCUGCUCAAA